CAGAAGGUGCAAGCGUUACUCGGAAUUACUGGGCGUAAAGCGUCUGUAGGUUUUUAACCACGUCUGGUGUGAAAUCGCGGGGCCUAACCCCGCGCCCACACUGGAUACGAGUUAGAUAGAGUCAUUCAGAGGCAUCUGGAAUGUCGUGUGUAGGGGUAAAAUCCGUAGAUACACGAUGGAACGCCAAAAGUGAAGACAGGAUGCUAGGAAUGCACUGACACUCAGAGACGAAAGCGUGGGGAGCAAAGGGGAUUAGAUACCCCCGUAGUCCACGCCCUAAACGAUGCGAGCUCGGUGUGGGACCUUCAAUCAGGUCCCGUGCCCUAAGCUUACGCGGUAAGCUCGCCGCCUGGGAAGUACGGCCGCAAGGCUA
rnacentral:rRNA from 1 species